AGAUGAUUACUUAUGGGCAGCUGAGAGAAAACUUGGAUGCCUAGGAUUUUAAAGGGGUUUCGUUCUGAGAAAAGAGUUUCCGCAGAAGGGUGAUCAACUCGGUAAUAUGAAGAAGCGGAUAAUUUGGUCGAGUGACAUCCAUCAUCAUUAUAGGAAUGUACAGUUGAAAUAAACGUUAUUCAUAAAGUGGUACACUUCUCUACGGACACACGUUAAGUAUGGAAGAACUACACAGUCGAUGUGUACUGCAUCGAGCAUCAUAAGAGCGUUUGAUCCAACUGUUAUAAACUGAUAGAUUUACACCAAGACGGCUGGUACCUGCCGUUAUUCAAGACUGAGG